UACGGGGGGGGCAAGCGUUGUUCGGAAUUACUGGGCGUAAAGGGCUCGUAGGCUGCCAACUAAGUCAGACGUGAAAGCCCCCGGCUUAACCGGGGAGGGUCGUCGGGUACGGUCAGGCUUGAGGGCGGGAGAGGGUGGUGGAAUUCCCGGUGUAGUGGUGAAAUGCGUAGAGAUCGGGAGGAACACCUGUGGCGAAGGCGGCCACCUGGGCCGACCCUGACGCUGAGGCGCGAAGGCGUGGGGAGCGAACGGG
rnacentral:rRNA from 1 species